GGCUCCGCUCGUUCCAUGCCAUGCCAAGCAUUCAAUUCAAAAGCCCACGCCCAUCACCACCAUCCGUUCUCUUUGUUUUGAAGUCAAGAAAGAUUUCAUUCCCACUCCAUUCCUCUCCAUUUCUGUUCGUUUCUUCCCUUUGACUCCGCCUCACACCCGGUUUAUAUGCCUUGUAUUGACUUCAUUUUACAGCGUUUUCAAUUACCAUCUUCUCCAAAACGAUUUCUGCAAUGUAUCCGAGGGUGAAGGUCAAAGGAGAAGAGGUGAAGGAAGGCCCAGUUGCAACACAAGAAGAUAGAAGUUCUUUGCUUUUGAGGGUCUUUGAAUCUCUCUCUUUGCAUGAUCGUCAUUCGCCGGGAAAUGAAUAUCGAGACAAUUCCCCUCCACAUGCAAGAAUUCCCAAGUCCUAUGUCCCAAUCACACCAAUGCCUUCCGUUGCUGCAUCCAAAGGUUGGUUUGAACUUCAAUGCACUGCAAGACCACUGAAGGGGAAGAACAACAAAGAAAUCGAUGCGGAUAGCAAAACCAACAUCAGAGCGAGUUCUGUUCCACGGCCCCGUGCUGUCUUAUCAAGCCCUGAUUUCAACUGCUUGAUGUGAGCUAGUCAGAAAUUGACACAAACAGAAGAAAUCAUAGCAGCUGAUUCCCUGAAGUAUUUGAGAUUGCAACAUCACAUCAUCCCCCAUUUGGGUUCUUGUCCUCUACACAUGGUUAAUGUUGUGAUCACAUGGCCAAUCUCCUUUACAGACAAUGAUGGGAUGAUCGGAAGUAGGAACAAGUUAUCUAGAGGGAGACAUUCAGUCUUGAAAACGCGUAAUUCAGAUCAUGUCACGCUUACUCAGGGCAAGACCAUUCUCAAAAAGGACAGUCCCAGCAAUACAAGAAGAGUCUCAAAGGAAGCUGAUAGUAAACCUCACCCCAAGGAAAAGCAUGCAACAGAGCAAACUGUUCCACAGCAGAAAGUGCAUCUUAGAAAGGGCAAACCAAGCACGGCAGGAGUAUAAGCAUUUUGCUGCAGGUUGCAAAGAGGAUUUCUUUCUUAUCAAGUAGCUCAUGCUUUCUACUCAUACACGCCCCUUUUUUUUUGGGUCUUGUCUAAUGUGUGGUUUUGGAUGUUGAUCUUUUGGAGGGCACAGCGGAAAUGACCUCAAAACAUCAAAGAAGGAAGAAUACUAACAUUAUUGACAUUGUUACGAUGUAAUCACUUGUUGUGUUUUAUAUGAAGAACCAUUUAAGAUAUGAUUUGGUUGA